GAUCCUGGCUCAGGAUGAACGCUGGCGGCGUGCUUAACACAUGCAAGUCGAACGAAGAUACUUAAAAUGAGAGCUUCGGCAGGAUUUUUAUUUAUCUUAGUGGCGGACGGGUGAGUAACACGUAUCCAACCUGCCGAUGACUCGGGGAUAGCCUUUCGAAAGAAAGAUUAAUACCCGAUGGCAUAGUUCUUCCGCAUGGUAGAACUAUUAAAGAAUUUCGGUCAUCGAUGGGGAUGCGUUCCAUUAGGUUG
rnacentral:rRNA from 1 species